GACGAACGCUGGCGGCGUGCUUAACACAUGCAAGUCGAGCGGAGCGGCGAACGGGUGAGUAAAGCGUGAGUAACUGCCCCCGUCGCUGGGGUAACAGUUGGAAAAGGGUGCUAAUACCGGAUAGUGGGGGAUGACUCGCGUCCUAUAAGCUUGUUGGUGGGGUAGUGGCCUACCAAGGCGACGACGGGUAGCCGGCCUGAGAGGGCGACCGGCCACAUUGGGCUUAGAUACGGCGCAAACGCCUACGUGAGGCAGCAGUGGGGAAUAUUGCACAAUGGGGGAAACCCUGAUGCAGCAACGCGGGGGCGGGAGGACGGCCUUCGGGUUGUAAACCGCUGUCAGCCAUGACGCGUUAGUGGCAGAAGAAGCACCGGCUAACUACGUGCCAGCAGCCGCGGUAAUAC
rnacentral:rRNA from 1 species